UCGUAACCUCCCAUCGCAUAAAUCAGGUCAUUGAGCACAGCAACGCUCACGUAACACCUAAGAUUCGCACGGUUUGCUUCAUUCAUCGGAGCAACUUCCCUCCAGACUUUGGUAACAGCGUUGAAGCAACGACAGCUAUUAAAAUAAUCUGCUCCAUCGAAACCACCGAUUACAUAUAUAUUAAAACCAACAACCGCAGUUCCGUGAUAAGCGCGUGGACCGAUUGGAUCUACUUCUUCCACCUUUUAAGAAAGUAACAGGUAUAUUAAUUGUUGUCGAUUUCCAACGAUGACAAGAAUUUUCUUUAGAAAUCUAAAUCGAAGCUUCCGAGUUUAUAAAAUCACGAACUUGGUAAGGUUCAAUGACACAAUGAUAUAAGAUAAUAAACAUAACAGGUCGUUAGCGAAAAUAAAAAUGGAAACAACGAUAAGAUAACCAACGAUGAUCCUUUGUUUAGUUAUCGUACGCGAGAAACGUAAGCACGUGAGUUUCAUAAGGUCUUCGAAGAGAAAAUUUCUUCUCAUUCCGGUAGAGUUUGUUUAUCGACUACAUACACAUACGUAUGUAUGUAUGUAUAUUAGCAAAAACAUUUUUGGCCGAUUCGUACAAGUACCGUACACAUUUAAAUGUACAUAUCGAACAUCUUAAACAUUACAUAUGGUACAAUAUACGCGCUGUAAUCGUUAUGCCAGACGAAAAAGGAAGGAGAUCUCAAGAUCAACUUGUUCAAAUUUUAAAUGGAUUGUUAUAUUUUUUUUAACUUACAACCUGCUUUAACUACAACUUUUUGACUGACCUGACUAAUCUGGCGUGGUAGAUCGCUGAACUCGUCUUAAAAACGGCUGUCAUUCCGUAGGACAAAAAAUAUAACACUCCAUUUUAAAAAAACGAAACCUUGAAAUCUCCUUAGGCUUCCAUCUAAAAAGAAAUAACUUUGAUUGUUCGGUGGAACAAUCAAAAAAAUUGUGACGUUAUCGUACUAUUUUGUUUUUCUUGUGUAGUUUGUAAGUUCAUUAUCGAAAUGUAUGUAUUUCUUAAGUGAGAAGCAUAAAAAAAAAUCUUGUAUUA